rnacentral:tRNA from 1 species
GGUGAGAUGGCUCAGUGGGUAAGAGCACCCGACUGUUCUUCCGAGGGUCCAGAGUUCAAAUCCCAGCAACCA